GGGUGAUUAGCUCAGCUGGGAGAGCACCUCCCUUACAAGGAGGGGGUCGGCGGUUCGAUCCCGUCAGCAACGGCCCG
rnacentral:tRNA from 1 species